ensembl:lncRNA
GUUUUGUAUUACAAUUACAGGAGCUGUGUGUCCGACGGCAGUGAGGCUUUCCUUCACCGUGUGCUGUGUUAUGCUGUCCCAUUUGAUGCCAAUAGGCUACAGCUCCGAAGUAAAUGUGAAUCCUUAUUGUGGAUUGUGAUUUCCAGCUUAGUAAUUGGCUGGGUGACUAUUAUUCCUGCAUUUUAAACUUUUGUACUAAUAAACAAACUCUAUUUUGCUACCCACGUCUCUUGCUCAUUUUAUUCAGUGGAAUGAACCUGGGUUCCUUAUAACAUUUUAAGUGAACUGUGAUUCCCUGGUAUAGUCCCAGGGUGGCGUAGUCUAUUGUAUAUCUCUUGAGUGUUGAAUAUUGCUGCAAAAAGACCACUUUGCCACAUUUUGGCGUAGUCGGCAGGGUCCACUAAAUUGAACAGAGACGUGGGUGAAGAUUUCUUUGCCAGCUGGUAUUGCCAUUAUUUGCUUUUCUUUUUAUUUCACAGGAACAAGACAGCAGCGUAGACUCUUUGAAGGGUCUCUUUGGCUACCUCCCCUGAUUGUGUUUCAGGUCCAAAUUUUCUUUCUGCCCCGCCUUGCUUGGUGGUAAGUGUUUUACUAAAAGUUAGCUAUGGCAGAAGAAUUACAAGAACUUCAGGAUCUUGUGGCCCAAUUAAGAGCUGAUAAUGAGAGACUUAGACAAGAACAGACUCAAAUUGUUAUUCCAGGUCCCAGUACAGCUCCUAUUUCUACCACCUUACCCUCUGGUGCACAGCAAUCUGCUGGUGCAAGUGCCCCAUCUACUGAGCGAUUUGUGUUUGUUCCCCGAGAUAGGAAGUGCCCAAAAUUUAGCGGGAGACCCGGUAUUACCAUAAAUGAAUGGGUAGAGGAGGCCCAAGCCUGUAUGCGGGUUCGCCAUUUGUCUAGAGCUGAUCAAGCAUUCUUUCUUUUUGAUCAUUUAGAGGGAGAAGCUCGGGAUGAGAUCAGGUAUCGGUCUGAGACAGAGAGGGGGGAUCCAGAUAAGAUAAUUCGGGCCUUAAAGGAAUUGUAUGGGUGUUCUUUGUCAUAUGUAGCAUUGCAACAGGCAUUUUUUUCCAGGAGGCAGCAGGAAGGAGAAACACUUUUAGAGUUCUCUAUUGCAUUGAUGGGCCUCUUGGAGGGGGUAAAACAGCAGUCGCCGCAUGCCAUACCAAAUGCAGAAGCUUUAUUGCGUGACCAGUUUGUCGAGCACGUGCUCGAUAUUGGUCUUCGUCGGGAACUAAAACAAUUAGUCCGCCGUGACCCUACCUCUUCCCUCUUAGAUGUUCGUAGCGAGGCAAUGCGCUGGGAGCGGGAGGGAAUGCCUGGGGGUGCGAGAGGGCGAAGUCAGUCUGUACCAGUGGCCUAUGGGGCCCAGUAUGCCAUACAGGGGGAGUCGCAGGUAGUUCGGUUGAGCUCCCCUCCCAAGUCGGAGCUAGCAGAGUUACGGGAAAUGUUGAAGUCACAACAAGAACAGUUAAACCAACUUACCCAAGGGUUGGCUCGCUUGCAGGUCCCUAAUUCAUAUAGCCGGUCCCCACGUCACAGUAAUAUAGUAUGUCGGAGGUGCCAACGGUCUGGCCAUUUUGCCCGAGAGUGUGAUGGAGAACGUGUUCUCCCUCACGCUCCAGCAGUGGGUACAUCUUCGACUGGGUCUAGGCAGUUUCGAUCUUCACAGCCGUCGGAAAACUAAUCCCCACCGGGCUGCGGAGUCACAGCGCGGAUGGGGAGUCAUUUGACUCAAAUGUUGUAAACCGUCUAAAUUCUGUCUCUCGUUUGGUGUCCUCCUGUCCUCAUCUUAAUGUGCUCAUCGGUGGUGUUCAAGUGCCAUGUUUAGUG